rfam:Rattus norvegicus chromosome 1, whole genome shotgun sequence.
GGGGAUUUGGCUCAGUGGUAGAGCGCUUGCCUAGGAAGCGCAAGGUCCUGGGUUUGGUACCCAGCCCCCA